UGGGGUACAGCUCAGUGGUAGAGCACAUGCUUAGGGUGCACCAGGUCCUGGGUUCAGUCCCCAGUACCUCCA
rnacentral:tRNA from 1 species